rnacentral:lncRNA from 1 species
AUACUUCUAAGUUAAAUAAAUUCAAUCCUUUUUUUGUUUGGUUGGUUUUUUUCGGUACUGGGAAUCGAACUCCAGUCCUUGCGCAUUUGAGGCAGGUGCCAGAACCACUGAACUAAAUCCCCGGCCCUUCAAUUCUUUUUAAAAUACUACUUUUCCCUUAUUUUCUCUAAUUUUCUAAAGACUGAAAAAUAUCAGAAUUGGUCACCAGUUCUGAAAUCUCUCUGGGUACCAUCAGAAGGGCUGGAUUUCUCCUUGAUUUCAUCCUACCUUUUAGGGUGAUCAGUACCAGCCAGAUUCUCUUUCUACUGACACAACUGGAAAGGGGGAUCCCUGGGUCUGGUUGGUGGAGACUCUGUGUCCUGGUUUCCAUGGUUACUGGAGCCAGCUGAAUGUCCAGGUUCUGCCCCGAGUCCACACUGUAUACCCUGCUGCUUUCUGAAAAAGCCAGAAAUAAUCAUUUGGGUGGCACCAGAAGAAAACAUAAUCCACAGGAACCAACAGGUCUUGGGAUAAACUUGACCCCUCUAAGGCAGUUUGACCAAACUACCAAUCCAAGGAAGGCUCCCUGCUCUCGGGCAGGGGCGUCAUAAGAGCUAAGGAAGUGGUCUCUUCUCAGGAAGUGGGUCGACAAAUGACCUAAAAUUCAACCCUUCCCUUCAUGGAAGAAACUUAUCAUCUAAAGGAGGAAAGCUUUAAAAUAUGCUCCUUUUUUCAAGAGAAAAAAGAGUGAGAAGAGGAAUUUACUGUCCUGCAGUUUCUAGAAUAAAGAAGGAAAAUAUUUUCUGAAAAUGAGUACCUGUUCCCUUCAGUGUGAGUGUAAAUUUUGCAGUUUUAAAGAUACCUUGCUCCUGAAAACUUAGCCUCUACUUUGAUAAUUGUUCCAGUUGGAAACUUAGGGAGAUUUUUAACACAUGGGGCUGAUCUAUUUAUUUAUUUACUAAGCUUUGUUUUCCUGUCACUUCCAGUUGCAACUGUAGGGAUU